UUGUCUGGUUAAUUCCGAUAACGAACGAGACUCCGGCAUGCUAACUAGUUACGCGGCCCCCGUGCGGUCGGCGUCCAACUUCUUAGAGGGACAAGUGGCGUUCAGCCACACGAGAUUG
rnacentral:rRNA from 1 species